rnacentral:rRNA from 1 species
UACAGAGGGGGCAAGCGUUAUUCGGAAUUACUGGGCGUAAAGGGCGCGUAGGCGGCCUUCUAAGUCAUGCGUGAAAUCCCCGGGCUCAACCCGGGAACUGCGUCUGAUACUGGAAGGCUUGAAUCCGGGAGAGGGAUGUGGAAUUCCAGGUGUAGCGGUGAAAUGCGUAGAUAUCUGGAGGAACACCGGUGGCGAAGGCGGCAUCCUGGACCGGUAUUGACGCUGAGGCGCGAAAGCCAGGGGAGCAAACGGG